rnacentral:rRNA from 1 species
AUGGUGCGGGAGGUGCGCAUGGUGGAGCGGCUGGCGGAGGCCGUGGCCGCAAGGGUGGCCUCCGAGGCGGAGGCGCUCCGCGCGGACGCCCGUGCGCGGAUCGGCCUCGGGGAGGAGCUCAUGCGGCUGUUGCUGCGCCUCGACGGCGUGCGUGGCGCCCGGGAGUACCGGAGGCGGGUCACCAGGCGCGUGCUCGCGCUCCAGGAUGCUGUUGACGCGCUCGAGGCCGCGCCUGCGGUGGUGACCGCCGAUGCGCCGGAAGUUCAGGAUGCAGAGGAAGAAGCAGAGAGCGGGAUGGAGCCGGAUCUGCCGGUUGAGGACAAUACUGUGUUGGAUUUUCUGGCUGCCGAGACAACCGACACGGCGGCGAUGGAGGUUGAUGCGGCGAGUCCCGUCGUCGUCGACGAGGCCGGGCACACCGAGACCGAACUGGUGGCGGAAGGCGAGAAGGCCUCGGAGGCGGAGGGUGAGUGGGAGAUGGUGGCGACGGGGGACGGCGACGUCUUCACGGGCGAGGAGGACCCUGCACCACCCAAAGCCCAGCAGCAGCAGCAAGAACAGGUACAGGAGGAGAAGAAGACAGUGACCACCGACGGGCUGGACGCGAAGAAACUGAUGGAGAUGGUGGUGGCACUGUGCGAACGGAGCGCACAGCAGUGCGAGCUCAUCGGGGCCCUGGCCGAGCGGGUGGACACGCUGGAGCGCGCUGUCCGGCGGGUGGAGGAGGCCGACCGGCGCCGGGGGAGGAACAAGAAGACCAACAAGGACGGCAAGAAGAACACAAGUAGCUUCUACAGCGACUAA